AGCUGUGAAGGCAGGUGUCUGAGGUCGUUUCAUGCAACUAAAGAUUCAGGCGACGGUUGUGCAACCUUAGGCUACAGCAGGCAGCAGUUCAAUGCGAUGAAAGUUUUUAUGUGCAAGAAUUGCGAGUACGAAAGAUAUCAAUGUUUUGCUUGUGGGUGUUUGGGUUCAGCUAAAACUAAUCCUCCCGAGGUGUUUCCAUGUGCUUCUGCAACUUGUGGUUACUUCUAUCAUGCUAAAUGUGUUGCCCAGUUACUCUUCCCUGAAAAUGAAGCCAAAUCAACUGAGUAUACAUCAAAGAUAGCCAGUGGGGCUAAAUUUGCCUGUCCGCUCCACAAAUGUGACAUCUGCAAGUACGGUGAAAACAAAGAGGUUAAGGAACUGCAGUUUGCUGUUUGUCGGCGGUGCCCGAAGGCAUAUCAUAGAAGAUGU